AUUGAACGCUGGCGGCAAGCCUAACACAUGCAAGUCGAACGAGUGGCGGACGGGUGAGUAAUGUCUGGGAAACUGCCUGAUGGAGGGGGAUAACUACUGGAAACGGUAGCUUAUACCGCAUACCAUCGGAUGUACCCAGAUGGGAUUAGCUAGUAGGUGGGUUAAAGGCUCACCUAGGAGACGAGCCCUAGCUAGUCUGAGAGGAUGACCAGCCACACUGGAACUGAGACACGGUCUAGACUCCGACGGUAGGCAGCAGGGGGGAUGAAUGCACAAAGAGCGCAAGCCUGAUGCAGCCAUGCCGCGUGUAUGAAGAAGGCCUUCGGGUGGUAGAGUACUUUCAGCGGGGAGGCGUUACCCGCAGAAGAAGUACCGGCGAGCUCCGUGCCAGCAGCCGCGGUAAUAC
rnacentral:rRNA from 1 species